rfam:Aspergillus flavus AF70 113, whole genome shotgun sequence.
GGCCGGCUGGCCUAAUGGUAAGGCGUUGCUCUCCUAUGGUGGUUUCACUCGUAGUAAAGCAAAGAUUCAGGGUUCGAGUCCCUGGUCGGUCG